GGGGCUGCAGAAGGUCGGGGCUGCACUGCUCUCGGCCCCCACAUGGUUGGUUGCUUGGCGUGGUAAGUGCCCUGAUCCCUGGUCCUGAGAACUCAGGCUGGCACAGGGAUUCCCAGGGCAUCCACCACCACCCAGCUGGAGCCCAGGAACACGGAGAUGGACGCCCCCAGGCCCCCCAGUCUUGGUGUCCCUGGAGCAGCAUCGAGGCCCAGGAGAACUGUGGACAACGGAAGGCUGCGCCCCAUCCAUUGAGUUCCUGGGGCCCCGCUGGAGGGGCUGCUGUGGCUAGGGUGCCCGGUCACAAAUGAAGACAUCAAGGUGCAGAGAGGUGACUCAGCCUACCCUCAGUCACCUAUCUGCUCCUGGAGGUGAUCCCCGACUCCAUGAAGAAGCAAGAGGUGCGGACGGGCAGGGAGGCCGGCCAGGGCCACGACCUCCCCCACUGGCCUCGUCCCGCAGACUCCAGGAUACAGAGGCACCGCAGGGCCCUGCUGAGCAAGGUGGGAGGUGUCCCGGAGCUGGGCAGACCCUGGCACAGGCUGGCCUCCCUCCUGCUGGUGGAGGGCCUGACAGACCUGCAGCUGAGGGAACACGACUUCACACAGGUGGAGGCCACCCGCGGGGGCGGGCGCCCCGCCAGGACCGUCGCCCUGGACCGGCUCUUCCUGCCUCUCUCCCGGGUGUCUGUCCCACCCCGGGUCUCCAUCACUAUCGGGGUGGCUGGCAUGGGCAAGACCACCCUGGUGAGGCACUUUGUCCGCCUCUGGGCCCAUGGGCAGGUCGGCAAGGACUUCUCGCUGGUGCUGCCUCUGACCUUCCGGGAUCUCAACACCCACGAGAAGCUGUGUGCUGACCGACUCAUCUGCUCGGUCUUCCCGCAUGUCGGGGAGCCCAGCCUGGCGGUGGCAGUCCCAGCCAGGGCCCUCCUGAUCCUGGACGGCUUGGAUGAGUGCAGGACGCCUCUGGACUUCUCCAACACCGUGGCCUGCACGGACCCCAAGAAGGAGAUCCCGGUGGACCACCUGAUCACCAACAUCAUCCGCGGCAACCUCUUUCCGGAAGUUUCCAUCUGGAUCACCUCCCGUCCCAGUGCGUCUGGCCAGAUCCCGGGGGGCCUGGUGGACCGGAUGACGGAGAUCCGGGGCUUU
rnacentral:sRNA from 1 species